GUAACUGGGGGGCAGGAGCCGGGGGAACAAGGAGGGAGGAAGCGUUGGUCGGAUUUACUGGGCGGAAAGGGCGCGUAGGCUGCAAGUGAAGUCAGCUGUGAAAUCUCUGAGCUUAACUCAGAACGGUCAGCUGAUACUGUGUUGCUAGAGUGCGGAAGGGGCAAUCGGAAUUCUUGGUGUAGCGGUGAAAUGCGUAGAUAUCAAGAGGAACACCUGAGGUGAAGACGGGUUGCUGGGCCGACACUGACGCUGACAGCGCGAAAGCCAGGGGAGCAAACGGGUUUAGAUACCCCUGUAGUC
rnacentral:rRNA from 1 species